CUUCUAUGGAGCCUGGAUGGACAGAUCUCUAGAGAGGAUCAGCUGUCAUGGUCCUGUGGCAGGUCAGCCCCAAUCUGGUCUUUCAGGAUUCUUUUAAAUUUCAGCAGAAGGAGUUCCUUUGAGA
rnacentral:miRNA from 1 species